CAAUAGCGUAUAUUAAAGUUGUUGCAGUUAAAAAGCUCGUAGUUGGAUUUCGGGGUGGCCUGCCUGGUCCACCGCAAGGCGAGUACUGGUCAGCCGCCCUUCCUCUCGAAAGCCCCGACUGCUCUUCAUUGCAGUGGUCGGGUAGUUCGGGACGUUUACUUUGAAAAAAUUAGAGUGUUCAAGGCAGGCUAUCGCCUGAAUACAUUAGCAUGGAAUAAUGGAAGAGGACCUCGGUCCUAUUUUGUUGGUUUCUAGGGCCGAAGUAAUGAUUAAGAGGGACAGUUGGGGGCAUUCGUAUUUAAUUGUCAGAGGUGAAAUUCUUGGAUUUAUGAAAGACGAACUAGUGCGAAAGCAUUUGCCAAGGAUGUUUUCAUUAA
rnacentral:rRNA from 1 species